rnacentral:lncRNA from 1 species
UCGACAGGGAUAGAAGCGCAUCUCGUAGUUUUGCAAAGAUGGAUAUCGUUACAAGUACAUGUACUGAAAAAAUGAGUAUAUGGAAUUGGCUUACACUCGCCACAAGCUACAUCAGAGUCACAUCAACACAACAGAUACAGUCAUCAUGUAGAAGGGCAGGGUCCGGCUACGGACAAAAACAAACGAUAAAAGAACGAUGUCAAUCCUUGCUAUCCCAGGCUGCCGGCCCAGAACCCAUCCUAGAUUGAUGAAGAAGAAGAAGAAGAAACUUCAAAUGAACAAUCAUCGCGCUCACGUCUUAAUAUCACUUUACAUGUACCUGCAAGUGGUGUUGUAGUCAUCUGUGAGACACAGGGACUCAGCAAUCUCAUUUCCAAAGGUAUCAAGACAAGCAAAGCUUAAUGGGUGAGGUAUGGUUAAGUGGUGAGGCUACAUCAAGCGACUAAGCAUUUAUUUGAGGUGGCUAACUUACGAAUACACGAAUAAGAGGGGGUGAUCUACGCAUGGCGGACAUGAACUAUGAUGAUGAAAUUAAUGAUCUUGAACAUCUACUUAUGUAAGGCAUAACCCCACCGUGUCCUCUGUCGGAGAAGAAGCUCACGAGAGAGAUAGUCACGGUUACGCACACGCAUAUUUUAAUUAAGUUUACUUCAAGUUGUCUAGAAC